ACAUGACUUGGCUGGCAGGACAAAGCAUCCUGAGGAGAAAAGUAGCUUGCCCAGGACUUCACAGGAAACUUACAGGAGCCCUAAGUGGGCCACACUGCUCAGAGGGAGGAGGACUAUGUGGAGAGCAGGGAUCCCACAGCCACACCAAGGCAACUGCAGAGGCACUCUAUGUGCUGGAACAGCUGAACCACAAGAGGAGUUCCCUGAAGCUCUUGCCUCUGGCCAAAACUGCUCAAAUGACAGGGGUUGGGGAGUUAGUCUGAGGAUGAGACUGAUA
rnacentral:lncRNA from 10 species